GCCCUCAUCGUUCAACGGAUAGGACACAAGCUUGCGGAGCUUGUAAUAGGGGUUCGAUUCCUCUUGAGGGCA
rnacentral:tRNA from 1 species